rnacentral:rRNA from 1 species
AUUGAACGCUGGCGGCAUGCUUUACACAUGCAAGUCGAACGGCAGCACAGGGAGCUUGCUCCCGGGUGGCGAGUGGCGCACGGGUGAGUAAUACAUCGGAACGUGUCCUGUUGUGGGGGAUAACUGCUCGAAAGGGUGGCUAAUACCGCAUGAGACCUGAGGGUGAAAGCGGGGGAUCGCAAGACCUCGCGCAAUUGGAGCGGCCGAUGCCCGAUUAGCUAGUUGGUGAGGUAAAGGCUCACCAAGGCGACAAUCGGUAGCUGGUCUGAGAGGACGACCAGCCACACUGGGACUGAGACACGGCCCAGACUCCUACGGGAGGCAGCAGUGGGGAAUUUUGGACAAUGGGGGCAACCCUGAUCCAGCCAUGCCGCGUGCAGGAUGAAGGCCUUCGGGUUGUAAACUGCUUUUGUCAGGGACGAAAAGGACCGUGUUAAUACCAUGGUCUGCUGACGGUACCUGAAGAAUAAGCACCGGCUAACUACGUGCCAGCAGCCGCGGUAAUACGUAGGGUGCAAGCGUUAAUCGGAAUUACUGGGCGUAAAGCGUGCGCAGGCGGUUCUGUAAGACAGAUGUGAAAUCCCCGGGCUCAACCUGGGAAUUGCAUUUGUGACUGCAGGACUAGAGUUCAUCAGAGGGGGGUGGAAUUCCAAGUGUAGCAGUGAAAUGCGUAGAUAUUUGGAAGAACACCAAUGGCGAAGGCAGCCCCCUGGGAUGCGACUGACGCUCAUGCACGAAAGCGUGGGGAGCAAACAGG